rnacentral:lncRNA from 1 species
AUUGGAAGAGAGACGCAUGGAGAAUGGGUGAUGGGUUGUUGGUUUUUUGGGGUUGUUUUUGGUUGUUUUUUUUUUUUUUGUUAUUUUUUUCCAUUUCCUUGGUGACCUGUGCCCCAUUCGUUCUCACUGUUUGCAGAGGUGGUCCCAUCAUCAUCCCAAGGCCCGGCUGGGGCUGGAUGGGCUGGCCUUCCACGGUGGCCCAGACUGCUGCUCCUCGUGAUCUCAGGUGAUUGUCCCCCCAUAAACGUGAUGGAUGGCUCCUUACCAGACUGUAAAUCCCAAAGGGUCUGAGUUUAUUGUGGAGGCUGCUGGGCUGGUGGAUUCCUUCUUCCCUGUGCUCACCCCAGAGGAGUUGCCACAAAGUGCUGAUCAUCCAGUCUCAUUGAAAGUAGCACAUUCGCGUGAACGGGGCCCCGGGAGAGCAUUUCCACGCCCAAGUCGCCGAAGCAUUUGCGGAAAGCUCCUGGCCAGGUGGGAGUAUCUAGGACUGCGCUCUAGUCCCAGACCCGCCACCCGGCCUCCUGUGCCACCUGAGGCUGGUCCUGUGACUUCUGGUCUCAGCUUUCUCCUUUGUAAACGGUCUACGCCCCCACUCCCGGCUCUUCGGGAACUGACACAGUGA